CCAGUAUGCUGUGCUUUCACUUUAUCUGAAUCUUGUCACGUAGACAAGUUCAGGGCGGGACUGUAAUACGUAGGCUGAUGCAAUGAGGACGCGUUCAGGGCGAGACUGUUACAGAAUAUAUGAAGUUUAUUGGAAAUUGGACAUUGCACACUGAAGUUAUGAGUACCGCUUAAUGGAAAAUCAUCUGAAUUUGACAAGGGGUCAGUGGCACGCAGUUUGACGUACAGUCACAAAUAGCUCAAUUCUUCAUGUACACUUUGUUUUUAUAAGACUGUCCAAUUUUGAAGUCGAUUUGAUAAGUCCCCUAUUUAUCUUGCAAUUUAAUAAGUGACUUCCAGCGGUUUCACACUAUGCUCCACGAACAAUACUCCCUAGGAAAUAUGGUUUGUAGAUGUGGCUAGUGGGAGCGGAGGGGUGUUUGUGUUUCAUCACUUUGAAAAAAAAGACCACAGAAUUCAAAAUGUCCAACUUUGACGAGACACCUGGGACACGCCCUUCAA